GAUGAACGCUAGCGGCAGGCCUAACACAUGCAAGUCGAGGGGUAACUAGAGUGAUAGCAAUAUUACUUUGGCUAGACCGGCGCAUGGGUGCGUAACACGUAUGCAACCUACCUUAUACUGGGGAAUAACUUCGAGAAAUCGGCGCUAAUACCCCAUAACAUUGCGAAGAGGCAUCUCGUUGCAAUUAAAGCUCCGGCGGUAUAAGAUGGGCAUGCGUCCAAUUAGCUAGUUGGUGAGGUAACGGCUCACCAAGGCUACGAUUGGUAGGGGUUCUGAGAGGAUGAUCCCCCACACUGGUACUGAGACACGGACCAGACUCCUACGGGAGGCAGCAGUGAGGAAUAUUGCGCAAUGGACGAAAGUCUGACGCGGCCAUGCCGCGUGCAGGAUGACGGCCCUAUGGGUUAUAAACUGCUUUUGUACGGGAAUAAACCCUUCUACGUGUAGGAGGCUGAAGGUACCGUAAGAAUAAGCACCGGCUAACUCCGUGCCAGCCGCCGCCGUAAGAC
rnacentral:rRNA from 1 species